CUGCCAGCGGGGCGCCCCCGGCCUGAGACUCCCUGGAAGCCUCGUCCGCGAGUCGCGGACUCGGGGCCCGGAGGGCGGCGGGAGGUCCUGCGCUGCGGUGCGGCUAUAGCGCCCGCGCUCCCCGCGGAAGAACCGCCGAGUCGAGCGCUGAAGGUGUGGCCCACCAGCAGGAGUGUCAGAACGUGCCGAGCCGCUCGAGUCGGAGUCGCCAGAACCCCCGGAAGACGAGCCGUUCACCGGCAGGCCAACUGGGGCUUCUUCGUGUAGUGGACUGACAGCCAAGCGUCGGGAACGCAGUGUCGUGGGUGUGCGGCUGACCGGGUGAGGAGGAUCUUUCACAGAGACCGUGCCCCUCCGUGGAGUCCAGGAACAGGUGCUGGAGGCGACGGAGGCCGAGGCAGUGGUUCCCUGGGCGGGUGUGGUGAUGGGGCAGGGGGCACUGUGGGCGGGGAUGGGGAUUCGCCUACGUCUUCAUCUGGGGGUAGUUAAGUGGGUGUCUGCAUUCGUAAAAAUUCUUCACGUUUCUACCCUUAAGAUUAGUGCACUUCACUGCGUUACAAUACACCUCCAAAAAAGUGAAGGUGGUAACACUUCAUCCUUGAGUCCGUAUUUCCCCAUGAGCUCCAAAAUCACGCCACCAAGUUUUAGUGUAAAUUCUCUGCUUUUGUUAUAAUCGAAUCUCCUUUUUUUUUUUUUAGUUUGUUUUUGUUUUUUGUUUCUGGCUGCUCCUGCAGCAUGUGGAAAUUCCCUGGCCAGGGAUGGAACCUGGCCCGUGACCCACACCACAGCACAACGCGGGAUUCGAGCCGAAUCUGUGACCUACACCACAGCUCAUGGCAACACCGGAUCCUUAACCCACUCAGCAAGGCCAGGGAUCGAACCCACAACCUCAUGGUUCCCAGUUGGAUUCGUUAACCACUGAGCCACGACAGGAACUCCUGAAAUCAAUUUUUUAAGAAAACGUGAAUACCACUUGAGGCCAUGUUAGUCCCAUGGACAGUGGGAAAUCCCUUUUGAGGCAGAUACCCCACUGUGUCACUUAUUUUUCAACUGGCCAGCUCCUACCCAUCCUUCUACACUUAGAUAAGGCGUUUUCGGAUCCCUCCCCCGAAACCGUCUGGACGGGGGCGGGGCAAGAGAUGUCAGAGUGUCUUCAGCCACCGGACCUGCCUUUAUCUCUGCAGGGUCACGUUAGAGUCAUCUCUCAGUAUCCUCGGGGCGCUGGUCCCGGACACCCUGUAGACACCAGCCCCCAGGCGCUCAUGCCCCUUAUAUAAAAUGACGUAUACACAUCUUCCUGUAUACUUUUUUUUUUUUCCGUCUUUUUGGGGCUGCACCCGCAGCAUGUGGAAGUUCCCAGGGUAGGGGUUGAACGGGAGCUGUAGCUGCUGGCCGACGCCACAGCCCUAGCAAUGCAGGAUCUGAGCAGUGUCUGUGACCUUCACCACAGCUCACAGCAACACUGGAUCCUUUAACCCACAGAGCGAGGCCAGGGAUUGAACCCAAGUCUUCACGGAUACUAGUCGGGUUCAUUACCACUAAGCCACAAUGGGAACUCCCCUGUGUACUUCAAAUCAUCUCUAGCUUAUUUAUUCCUUUCUUUUUGGUCUCUCUCUCUCUCUCUCUCUCUCUUUUUUUUUUUUUCUUUUUUUUUUUUUUUUUUUUUUUAGGGCUGCACCUGCAGCAUAUGGACGUUCCCAGGCUAGAGGUCAAAUCAGAGGUACAGCUGCCGGCCUACGUCACAGCCACGGCACCUCAGGAUCUGAGCUGCAUCUGUGACCUACAUCACAGCUCACAGCAACACCGGAUCUUUAACCCACUGAGCAAGGCCAGGCCUCGAACCUGCAUCCUCAUGGAUACUAGUCGCCUUUGUUAACCACUGAGCCAUGAUGGGAACUCAUAUAAUUCCUGAUACAAUGUAAAGGCCAUGUAAUUAGUUGGCAGCACAGGACAAAUUCAAGUUUUGUUUUUUGGAAAUUCGUUUCAAAUAUUUUCCACCCAAAGUUGGUUGAAUCCAUGGAUGAGGUACCCACGGUUAGGAAGAGAUGACUGUACUAUAAUUACCUGCUCAUGUGGCUGUUUAUCCCACUACUGUGUGGGAUUCUUUUUUUCCUUUUUGGCCACCCCUUGCCCUGUGGAAGUUCCCCAGCCCGUGCCACAGCAGCGGCAAUGCCAAAUCCUUAACCCAUUCAGCCCCAGGGAGCUCCCACUGUGGGAUUCUUAACAUAGGGUAUUGUCUUAAUCAUCUCAAUGCCCAGCUACUCUCAGGUCAAUUACUAAUGUUUCCUUGACAGUCGUGUACUAAGAGCUGGGCAUGUUUCACCACUGAUUCCUUGCCAUAAGCCUUUAAUGUAGGCGCUGAGUUGGUGUCACACCACUUUCAACAGAUAAGUGAUCCUCUCCAGGUGACACAGGUAGUAAAUGGUGGAGCCAGUCUCAGGUUUAGCCGUCCUGCCUUCUUUUCUGAGUCCAUGAAGGAAUGGAAAGUCUAGACACAGCUGACGCUGUGGGUCCUGAGCAAGUUCCCUUUCCCAGGCUUAGUUGUAUCACGUUUCGUCAUCUCUUUUUAAGUUUUAGUCAUAUUUUAUUUUUGUUUUUGUCCUUUUAGGGCCGCGCCUGCAGCAUAGGGAAGUUCCCAGGAUGGGGUCUAAUCAAGAGCUGUAGCCACCGGCCUAUGCCACAGCCACAGCCACCUGGGAUCCGAGCCGCGUCUUCAACCUACACCGCAGCUCACAGCAACACUGGAUCCCCAAGCCACUGGGUGAGGCCAGGGAUCAAACCCACAACUUCAUGGUUCCUAGUCGAAUAUGUUUCUGCUGCACCAUGAUGGGAACUCCUGUACCCUUGUCUUUAAGAGAUAAAACCUCCUUAGAAGAUUAGAAAGGCGGACUCUUCUUCCCCUUCCCAGUGUCCGUGCUGGCAGCUAUUUGCUUUCCUGUAAUAAAGACUUGCUUGCUCGCGG
rnacentral:lncRNA from 1 species